rnacentral:rRNA from 1 species
CAGUAGCGUAUAUUAAAGUUGUUGCAGUUAAAAUGCUCGUAGUUGAAGUUCGGAUGCAGCAGAGCAUGGAAACGCUGUUAUGGUGCUUCCGUUGCUUUUGCUUGUCCACAGUGCGUUGCAAGUACGUAUGUGCUUGUGCGUGCAUUUUACUUUGAGAAACAUAGGGUGUUCCACGCAUGUUACGGCAUGAAUAUUCCAGCAUGGGAUAAUCUGGUACGACUUCCAAUCUGCCAUUUUGGUUCGUAGGUUGGAAGUAAUGAUUAAUAGGGACUGUCGGGGGCAUUGGUAUUUGACUGUCAGAGGUGAAAUUCUUAGAUUCGUUGAGGACCAACCACUGCGAAAGCAUUUGUCAAGGAUGUCUCCAUUAA